CUGCUGUUCGCUUAAAGCGCAAACUGGAAUUUAAUUAAAGCAGUGAGCAAAGGAUAAGGGUCUUCGAUUUCUUUGUGCCUCUCGCAGUGCCUUGGCCAACCCUUGCUUUCACUUCGCUUCGCUUGCUUUUUUGCCUUUCAUACCCCUAAGUUGACCUAAUGUAUGCAGCGCACAAAUAUUGUCUCAGACGGCUGAAUGAACUCUCAGGCAGGGGCGAACAGUUAAGCCGGACAAACCAAAAGGCAGACGAAUCUCUUCGACUAGACGCAUCGGGAGCAGCAAAAAACUGCGAAAAAGAAACUGCAGAGGAUGGAAGAGGCAGAGAUUUGUCUACUCCUUUCAAUGUUUGCAUUGGAUUGGCUUACACUAUCUUUGAAGCCCAUGUGGAAGCAGCAUCGUUGAGUUCUUUCUGUGAGUGUAGCAGUCAUGAGAAAUGCAAUAUAUUUCAAUAAAAAUGCUGCUCUCGUACUGCUGCCAAUGCCAGUUUUUGUUGAGACUCUGUUGUCUCGCUUUACGGCUUAGCUGUUCUUUGACCCUCUUGUGUUUUGGUCUUUAUGUGAUCCCAUUUGAGAACGUUUAACGCGUGCCUGACUUGUGGCAGAGGUACGAAACGCUCGAUUGGUAAUUGAUGGAAAGCAAAUCGUCUAUAAAUCAAGUGUGCAGCCGGGAGAAACAAAAGCGAAAUUCAAUAAAUGUCACUAAUCCCAGCGCUAAAACAAAUCGCCAGCUAUUUGCAAUUUUAAUAAGUAAAUGAGGCGGGAUAAAAACAAAUGCUGAAACUGAAACAGAAACAGCAAUGGCUACAGAAAUAUAUGCAAAUCCAUUAAUAAUCCAUAAAAAUGAUUAAUUACUGUAAACCUGUGUGGGUGUGCUCUGCUUUGUCUGCUGUCUAUCAAUGCAGCCGCGACCCAAACCCGACCGCACAUCACACAUACAUACAUACACAUACAUACUGUUAGUCGAAUGUUAGGUAAAGUGUUUGUUUCAUUGGAAAUUUUCCAAUUUAUGCUUAUAAUCGUAGCCACUGUACAAAUGCAUGAACUGCUCUGCCGUCGGCAGCUGCUUCUUCUGCCACUGCCGCUGCCACCGUUGUCGUUGUUGUUGCCACCGCUGCUACUGCAUGGCUAACGCACAUGCGCAAUCUAGCUACAUAUACAGGUUACAUACGUAUUAGUGUGUGUGUGUGUGUGUAUGUAUGCAGCAGCUAAGCAAUGAAAAUCCGACAUUGCGUCGGCCAUUCCGUUGCCCGGCUUCCAUUUUGCCAGCAUCGGCCAUGGCGUUUAGUCGUCCACACAGCACAGCAGCCCACGCCUCAAGCCGCAUGCCACACGCCUCUUGCCUCAUGCCCUGUGCAAAUUGGAAUUGCAAUAGGUUGGCAGUUCGGCCCACUCGUAACUGGGGUGGCUAGCUGUGCCACCCCAUGAGCCGAGGCUUAAGAGCUGCAGUUAGAAUUGCGUAGUUUCUCUUAAAUUAUCCGAAACAGUAAACUACUUUACCGACAAUUGUUCUAAGGCAUCUAACUGCCCAUAGAUGGCGCUGACAUGGGCAGUUUUGUGUCUGCUGUUGAGGGUAGGGCGGAAGUUCCAUCUAUUUAGGGUGGAUUUGAAUGCAAAGGAUGUUUGAGAAGUAUAUUAUCUGUUGG